rnacentral:rRNA from 1 species
GAGUGAAGAGGGAAGAGCUCAUCAUUGGAAUCUGGCAGUGUUUUCACUGUCCGAGUUGUAGAUGAGGAGUAGUCCAUCUGGACUGCAUGGCGUCCAAGUACAAUAGGCCGUCAGUGGGACAUCAUAGAGGGUGACAAUCCCGUCCUUGAUGCCAAUGUGCAAGUCCGUUACGAUGGCUAUCUCAGAGAGUCGAGCAGUUUGGGAUUUGCUGCUUAAACAUGGGAGGUAGAUUCCUUCUAAAGCUAAAUACAGGCGAGAGACCGAUAGAGAACAAGUACCGCAAGGGAAAGAUGAAAUAGCACUCUGUGAAGGGAGUCAAAAGACGUGAAAUUGUUGCGAGAGAAGCGAUUCAAGUCAGCGUAGCUAGGCCCAUCAAGCCUCUUGCUUUGGACUAGCUUUGCCAGCGGUCUUGUCCUAAGAGACUUGACUUGUUAAUAUGUCCAGCCUGGUAUGCACAGGUAGCCCCAUCGGGGCCAGUGACAUGGCUGGUGGAAUGGCUUGCAAUCGACCCGUCUUGAAACACGGACCAAGGAGUCUAACAUGUAUGCGAGUAUAAGGGUGGCAAACCCGUAUGCGCAAUGAAAGUGAUUUUCGGUGAUUGAGAAUGGCCUGAUGACCAGACAAGCAAUAUUAUGUCCCUCGUACGGCCAUUGCCCAAGUUCCGUGGUAGAUCCCACGAACAUGGAGUUGGAGCAUACAUGCUAGGACCCGAAAGAUGGUGAACUAUGCCUGGACAAAGCGAAGCCAAAGGAAACUCUGGUGGAGGCUUGUAGCGAUUCUGACGUGCAAAUCGAUCGUCUGAUCUGGGUAUAGGGGCGAAAGACUA